UACAGAGGUCCCAAGCGUUGUUCGGAUUCACUGGGCGUAAAGGGUGCGUAGGCGGUCGGGUAAGUCUGAUGUGAAAUCUCACAGCUUAACUGUGAAACUGCAUUGGAUACUAUCCGGCUCGAGGAAUGGAGGGGAGACUGGAAUACUUGGUGUAGCAGUGAAAUGCGUAGAUAUCAAGUGGAACACCAGUGGCGAAGGCGAGUCUCUGGACAUUUCCUGACGCUGAGGCACGAAGGCCAGGGGAGCAAACAGG
rnacentral:rRNA from 1 species